UACUUGUUAGCUCAGAAGGUAAAGAAUCUGCCUGCAAUGCAGGAGACCCAGGUUCAAUCCCUGGGUCAGGAA
rnacentral:tRNA from 1 species